UAUUACUUUAAGACUGCAGCGUGUAUCUCAGUUGUUCCUUUCCAUUACUUAAACAGCCGUAAAGUCACUCAUGCGUUUUAACUGGCAGGCCUGGGUGGAGUUUGCCAGUGAGGCAGCUUAGUGGAAAUGGAAGAAAGUUCCCCAAGGUGCCUGAGGAAAGAAACCUUCAUUUGAGGUGGCCUUGGGGUGCUCUCUAAUGAUGUGCCCCGUAGAUUCAGUAACAUCCACCAGAAAUCUCAGGUGUGGCCUAGAACGAAGAAAAGGAAGAGGAAACACAAAAGAGAAAACAGAAGGGGACAGAGGGAGAAAAAAAAAAAGGAAGCACAUCUGAUGGAGUGAGAUAGUGAACUGGCCAGAUGAGGGAAGGCCCAGCUGUGAGAAAUUGUCCUGAGCGGGGAAACUCCGAGACCUGCCCUGCCCACCUGUACCUGGCGUUGACCCCCCUCUUCUGUGCAUGCUCUAGCUGCUAAACGCCAGCCAUCUAAAAGGUAUUAGCAAUCAGAAGACAGGCCAGCAUUCAAAGAAGCUCAGAAAGAGGGGCCAGUUUGAUCCCUUGUGGCUGAUUCCGUGGCUGUUGCUGCGCCUGGGGCGGUAGCCCCCUUGACUACCGAAAUUACCCGCCCCCUGCACCCCCACACCCUCUUUGCAGCUUCACACUUCCUGGCCUCAGGCCCCAGCCCUGAAAUUCUCCCACGGAGCAGGAGGAAGUCCAGGAAGCAGCCUGCACUCCUGUCGAGAAGCGACCAGGUGCGACCACGUGCUCCAGGGCACAUGAGAAACUUGAUCCUCAGAGGCUUGCUCGGUGAGCACGACAAGGAGCAAAGAAAGCCCUUGGAGGACCUAUUCACUACAUUGUGGAUGCUUUGGAACUGUGGUGUUAGAGAAGACUCUUGAGAGUUCCUCGGGCUGCAAGGAGAUCCAACCAGUCCAUCCUAAAGGAAACCAGUCCUGAAUAUGCAUUGGAAAGAGGACUGAUGCUGAAACUGAAACUCCAAUACCUUGGCCACCUGAUAUGAAGGACUGACUCAUUUGGAAGAGAUCCUGAUGCUGGGAAAGAUUGAAGGCAGGAGGAGAAGGGGAUGACAGAGGAUAAGAUGAUUGGAUGGCAUCACCGACUCAAUGGAUAUCAGUCUGAGUAAGCUCCGCGUAUUGGUGAUGGACAGGGAGGCC
ensembl:lncRNA